rnacentral:rRNA from 1 species
AGCGAACGUUAGCGGCGGGCCUAACACAUGCAAGUCGAACGCGAAAGGUCUUCGGACUGAGUAGAGUGGCGCACGGGUGAGUAACACGUAGGUAAUCUACCCUUUGGCGGGGGAUAACGUUCCGAAAGGAGCGCUAAUACCGCAUAAGACCACGGAGUCUCCGGACGCUGUGGGAAAAGGUGGCCUCUUCUUGAAAGCUACCACCGAAGGAUGAGCCUGCGUCCCAUCAGCUAGUUGGUAAGGUAAUGGCUUACCAAGGCGAAGACGGGUAGCUGGUUUGAGAGAAUGAUCAGCCACACUGGCACUGGAACACGGGCCAGACUCCUACGGGAGGCAGCAGCGAGGAAUAUUGGGCAAUGGGCGAAAGCCUGACCCAGCCACGCCGCGUGAGUGAUGGAGGCCCUCGGGUCGUAAAGCUCUGUGGAGAGGGACGAAAACCCUGGUUUCAAAUAGGCUCCAGGCUUGACGGUACCUCUUUAGCAAGCACCGGCUAACUCUGUGCCAGCAGCCGCGG